rnacentral:rRNA from 1 species
GUGAGGAAUUUUCCGCAAUGGGCGAAAGCCUGACGGAGCAAUGCCGCGUGAAGGAUGAAGGCCUAUGGGUUGUAAACUUCUUUUCUCAGAAAAGAAUUAUGACGGUAUCUGAGGAAUAAGCAUCGGCUAACUCUGUGCCAGCAGCCGCGGUAAGACAGAGGAUGCAAGCGUUAUCCGGAAUGAUUGGGCGUAAAGCGUCUGUAGGUUGUUUAAAAAGUAUUUUGUCAAAGAUUAGGGCUUAACCCUAGAUAGGCAGAAUAAACUUUUAAGCUAGAGUUUGGUAGAGGCAGAGGGAAUUCCCGGUGGAGCGGUGAAAUGCGUAGAUAUCGGGAGGAACACCAAAGGCGAAGGCACUCUGCUGGGCCAAUACUAACACUGAGAGACGAAAGCGAGGGGAGCAAAUGGGAUUAGAAACCCGAGUAGUCC